CCUACGGGGGGCUGCAGUGGGGAAUAUUGGACAAUGGGGGCAACCCUGAUCCAGCCAUGCCGCGUGUGUGAAGAAGGCCCUCGGGUUGUAAAGCACUUUCAGUGAGGAAGAACGCCUGGUGGUUAAUACCCAUCAGGAAAGACAUCACUCACAGAAGAAGCACCGGCUAACUCCGUGCCAGCAGCCGCGGUAAUACGGAGGGUGCGAGCGUUAAUCGGAAUUACUGGGCGUAAAGCGCGCGUAGGUGGUUUGAUAAGCCGGUUGUGAAAGCCCCGGGCUCAACCUGGGAACGGCAUCCGGAACUGUCAAGCUAGAGUGCAGGAGAGGAAGGUAGAAUUCCCGGUGUAGCGGUGAAAUGCGUAGAGAUCGGGAGGAAUACCAGUGGCGAAGGCGGCCUUCUGGACUGACACUGACACUGAGGUGCGAAAGCGUGGGUAGCAAACAGGAUUAGAUACCCGUGUAGUC
rnacentral:rRNA from 1 species